CAGUCGCCACGGGAAUACGAAGGGGGCUAGCGUUGUUCGGAUUUACUGGGCGUAAAGCGCACGUAGGCGGACUUUUAAGUCAGGGGUGAAAUCCCGGGGCUCAACCCCGGAACUGCCUUUGAUACUGGAAGUCUUGAGUAUGGUAGAGGUGAGUGGAAUUCCGAGUGUAGAGGUGAAAUUCGUAGAUAUUCGGAGGAACACCAGUGGCGAAGGCGGCUCACUGGACCAUUACUGACGCUGAGGUGCGAAAGCGUGGGGAGCAAACAGGAUUAGAUACCCCUGUAGUCCCUGUCUCUUAUAU
rnacentral:rRNA from 1 species